UUCAAGUGAAGAAAGCCAAGAUGAAGGAGAUGGAUUACGCUUUUAAUUCGGCGAUUGAUAGGGCCCAGGAUCGAGUAUUUUAUUAUCCACCUCAGUUCGAAGACUCGCCGUGGUUCGUGAUGGAUCGCAGAACGGCUUAUCGUAUCAUGGAGGAGGAACGUCGAGAAGCCUUAUGACGUCUGUAUAUGCCUAGAUAGAAUAGGAGUGAUAAUAAUAUGUGGUUAAUUAUGUGAAUAAAUAAAUUGUGAAUCCCUUAUUUUGAGAUAAAUAAAAG
rnacentral:lncRNA from 1 species